rnacentral:rRNA from 1 species
AAUCAACGCUGGCGGCGUGCCUAACACAUGCAAGUCGCACGAGAAAGGGACUUCGGUCCUGAGUACAGUGGCGCACGGGUGAGUAACACGUGAACCAUCUACCUUCGAGUGGGGAAUAACUGAGAGAAAUCUUAGCUAAUACCGCAUAAUACCUACGGGUCAAAGCAGCAAUGCGCUUGAAGAGGAGUUCGCGGCAGAUUAGUUAGUUGGCAGGGUAAUGGCCACCAAGACGAUGAUCUGUAUCCGGCCUGAGAGGGCGCACGGACACACUGGAACUGAAACACGGUCCAGACUCCUACGGGAGGCAGCAGU